UACAGAGGUCCCAAGCGUUGUUCGGAUUCAUUGGGCGUAAAGGGUGCGUAGGUGGCGCCGUAAGUCAGGUGUGAAAUCUCGGGGCUUAACUCCGAAACUGCAUUUGAUACUGCGGUGCUUGAGGACUGGAGAGGAGACUGGAAUUUACGGUGUAGCGGUGAAAUGCGUAGAUAUCGUAAGGAAGACCAGUGGCGAAGGCGGGUCUCUGGACAGUUCCUGACGCUGAGGCACGAAGGCCAGGGGAGCAAACGGG
rnacentral:rRNA from 1 species